GGCUCAGGACGAACGCUGGCGGCGUGCCUAAUACAUGCAAGUUGAGCGCUGAAGGUUGGUACUUGUACCGACUGGAUGAGCAGCGAACGGGUGAGUAACGCGUGGGGAAUCUGCCUUUGAGCGGGGGACAACAUUUGGAAACGAAUGCUAAUACCGCAUAAAAACUUUAAACACAAGUUUUAAGUUUGAAAGAUGCAAUUGCAUCACUCAAAGAUGAUCCCGCGUUGUAUUAGCUAGUUGGUGAGGUAAAGGCUCACCAAGGCGAUGAUACAUAGCCGACCUGAGAGGGUGAUCGGCCACAUUGGGACUGAGACACGGCCCAAACUCCUACGGGAGGCAGCAGUAGGGAAUCUUCGGCAAUGGACGAAAGUCUGACCGAGCAACGCCGCGUGAGUGAAGAAGGUUUUCGGAUCGUAAAACUCUGUUGGUAGAGAAGAACGUUGGUGAGAGUGGAAAGCUCAUCAAGUGACGGUAACUACCCAGAAAGGGACGGCUAACUACGUGCCAGCAGCCGCGGUAAUACGUAGGUCCCGAGCGUUGUCCGGAUUUAUUGGGGUAAAGCGAGCGCAGGUGGUUUAUUAAGUCUGGUGUAAAAGGCAGUGGCUCAACCAUUGUAUGCAUUGGAAACUGGUAGACUUGAGUGCAGGAGAGGAGAGUGGAAUUCCAUGUGUAGCGGUGAAAGCGUAGAUAUAUGGAGGAACACCGGUGGCGAAAGCGGCUCUCUGGCCUGUAACUGACACUGAGGCUCGAAA
rnacentral:rRNA from 1 species